rnacentral:rRNA from 1 species
GCCCAGACUCCUACGGGAGGCAGCAGUGGGGAAUAUUGCGCAAUGGGGGAAACCCUGACGCAGCAACGCCGCGUGAGUGAGGAAGUAUCUCGGUAUGUAAAGCUCUAUCAGCGGGGAAGAAGGAGGACGGUACCCGACUAAGAAGCCCCGGCUAACUACGUGCCAGCAGCCGCGGUAAUACGUAGGGGGCAAGCGUUAUCCGGAUUUACUGGGUGUAAAGGGAGCGUAGACGGCAGUGCAAGUCUGGAGUGAAAGGCGGGGGCUCAACCCCCGGACUGCCCUGGAAACUGUACGGCUGGAGUGCAGGAGAGGUAAGUGGAAUUCCUAGUGUAGCGGUGAAAUGCGUAGAUAUUAGGAGGAACACCAGUGGCGAAGGCGGCUUACUGGACUGUAACUGACGUUGAGGCUCGAAAGCGUGGGGAGCAAACAGGAUUAGAUACCCCCGUA